GACGAACGCUGGCGGCGUGCCUAAUACAUGCAAGUCGAACGCAGUGGGGACGGGUGAGUAAAACGUGGGUAACAUCCACAUAAGAGGGGAUAACAAUUGGAAACAGGUGCUAAACCGAUACUGAUGGAUGGCACCGCGGGGCAUUAGCUAGUUGGUGAGGUAACGGCUAACCAAGGGCACGAUGCAUAGCCGACCUGAGAGGGUGAUCGGCCACACUGGUACUGAGACACGGCCAAGACUCCUACGGGAGGCAGCAGUAGGGAAUCUUCGGAAAUGGACGAAAGUCUGACCGAGCAACGCCGCGUGAGUGAAGAAGGUUUUCGGAUCGUAAAACUCUGUUGUUAGAGAAGCGGUAUCUAACCAGAAAGCCACGGCUAACUACGUGCCAGCAGCCGCGGUAAUAC
rnacentral:rRNA from 1 species